UACGGAGGGUGCAAGCGUUGCUCGGAAUCACUGGGCGUAAAGCGACCGCAGGCGGCCUGACAAGUCGGAUGCGAAAGCCCUGGGCUCAACUCAGGAAUUGCAUUCGAAACUGGUAGGCUCGAGUACGGGAGAGGGGGGUGGAAUUCCUGGUGUAGGGGUGAAAUUCGUUGAUAUCAGGAGGAACACCGGCGGCGAAGGCGGCCCCCUGGCCCGCAACUGACGCUCAUGGUCGAAAGCGUGGGGAGCAAACAGG
rnacentral:rRNA from 1 species